UAUUAUAUGCUUAAUUUUUAUUUUCAUAAUGCUGGCAUUGCUGUGUCCAAUAAACCGCAAUAUGCAAUUUAUUUCGUCCGCACAUCCGUCCAUGUUGAACGUUAGAAGGCAUCAAGUAUGAAUGGAGACGAUUAAAUUUGCGCCCGUCAAAUAAAAAUAUCAAAAAAUUUUGAUUUUAAUCAAGCAGAGCCGACAACAAAUCUAUGUAGCAUACGUGUAGUCGACAAAAGCCGACGACACCAAUACACUUAAGAAUUUGAUGAGUUUAUUUGACCGUCUCCAAAGGGUCUUUAAAUACUGAAAAUGGGAGACUUUUAAUCUGAUUAGCGAAACAUAACAGAACAGCGAAGCGCAGUGAAAAUGUCACAUAAAAGUUUUGUUAUAUGCGUAAUUGUUACAGAGGAACAGUGAAAUUGUCACAUAAAAGUUCUGUUAUAUCCGUAAUUGUUACAGAGGAACGAUGCUACAAACACUGGACUACACUAUGCGAACGAUAUUCGAGAGAGUGUAAAAGGGCGGAGUCAUGCAAAGGGCCAAGAGAAUUGGAGUUUGUACGCUAAUCUCCAUUUUUAAAGGAUUAUGUUAAAUCAAUCAAUCAAUCAAUGUAUAGGAACUGCUGCAAUACGUUAAAUCAAGAACAACUCAAUACACCAACAAUUUGAUGGAAGUUUAAUUUGCUUUGCCUUCACCAACCGAGCCAGCCAGUUGCAACUUCGAUGAAAGUGACUUAUCAACAACGACGCCGUCAACUUUUUUAUAAUCACUUUGAAAUAGUAUAAUCUAAAUGAUACAUGUAUUUUAUAUGAUAUAUUUUUCUAUA